ACUAGGGAGCUGGCUAGCGAGAGUCCCGAUCGGGCCUUCGUUUUCGCAGAGGACUGUGGGGUUGGAGAGGGUGGCUCUGUCUCUGCCAGGUCAGCGGCUACAGAGCCUGCGGUUGGGGAGCUCAGAGCGGUCUGGAAGCCGAGGCAUAGCCGGUCUUCUUACUUCGGAGAGAUCCUGGGUAUAAUUUCUACAAAAGAAAAAAAUAGCACCAGGGAGAAUGCUGAGUGGGGAAAGCUGCUUGCUGCUAACCUGGCCACCUGUUUGUCCCUGAGUCCAUGAAGAAGGAGAGCACUGACACCUGCAGGAUGUCCUCUGACCUUCAUAAAAUAGAGUGCACGUCCCCUCCCGAUAACAAUAUGUUACAGUCUAAAAUCAGAAACCGAGAACAGAGUUGAUGGAUCUCACUUGAGAUAAAGACAGUCAAGUACAGUAUU